UCAGGACACAGGGCGACCAAGAGGAGGCAGAUUUUAUUUAUUUUUUAUUUGACAUCCCACCCUUCCCCUCAUUUUUUUUUUUUUUAGUUCUCGGCGGACACAACAUCUUUGUUGGUAUGUGGUGCUGAGGAUCGAACCCAGGCCGCACGCAUGCCAGACUGCAUGUUCCCUGUGCCAGAGUCCUGAGUGCUCAGCUCUUCAGUGUCCAAAUGCCUGGAAUGUUUGGGGCUGGAAAGCAGAGCUUGUGCUCAGUGACCACAGGUGGUGCGGUGACAGUCCAGUGUGUUACACACCGUCUGACCCCAUCCUCAAAAUGCCUGGAGGUCAGUGUGACUCCUGAGAGAUCCGUGAGACCAGAUCGGCAGCCUCUUGCCCAAGGUAGGGCAGCAGAAGUAUGGAGCCAGGUUCAGAUUUCUGUCUGGCAAAGGAGCAGGGCUCAAGGUCAAGAUGAAGGAGGCGGAAGAGGGUUCCAAUCUGCUCAAGCAGAGCUACACACAUGUAGCUAAGUCUGCAACCCAUAAUGAUUCCAGAAAAGGAGCUGAUUUUAGACCCAUUUCUCAGAGAACAUUUUGAACUGUGUAAAAUAAUAUAGACACAUAUGCACAUGUGUAUGUAGGUACCACUCCAGACAGACUCAUAACCUCCCAUCACUGAAGGACCUAAACCAAGCUUGACCCUCCACCCCAGCCCUCUCUACUGUCUAUCAGUCACCGCGAUCCUGCCCUACAUUCCCUUCCUCCCACUCCUGCAUUUGUGCACAAAGAAAAAGGGCCCAGCAGGAUGGUCAACAGAUUUAUGCUGAAAUAAAUGUGCUAAUUUAGAUAUAAAAAUGAUGGGUGGCCUGUGGGCAGCAGAACACUGAGAUGAGCUUCUCUCCUGGAUCAAAGCUCCUGCAUCCCUACCAAAGGUCACUUGCAACUUUUUAACUUUCAGCCUGUUAGCAAAAGAGCAAAAAAUAACCAGUCCUGAUGAGGUUGCACAGAAAAAGAAGCCCUCAACACUGUUGGUGGGCAUAUAAAUUAGUGCAAAGAGGAUGUAGAUUCCUCACAAAAAUAAAAACAGAACUCCUGCUGGGCACAUAUCUGAGGAAAUGAGGUCAGCAUACAAAGAGACACCCACACACAAUAACCCAGGUGCCCAUGAACAGAUGAAUGGAUAAAGGAAAUAUGGCCUAACAAUGGAGCAUUAUUCAGUAUGUAGAGAGGAACCAGGUCAGCGGGCCAUGGUAGCUCAUGCCUGUAAAUUUAGGUCCUUAGGAGCCUGAGGCAGGAGGACCACAAGUUGGAGGCCAGCCUCACCAACUCAAUAAGACUCGGUCACAAAAUUAAAUAAUAAUAAUAAUUAAAAGGGCUGGGUCUACAGUGCAGAGGUAGAGCACCCUGGGUUCAAUACCCAGUACUGGAAAAAACAAAAAGAAUGAAAUCCUCUUAUUUGCAGAAAAUGGAUGGAACUGAAAGACCUCCUGUUAAGCAAAAUCAAGGAGACACAGAAAGACGACUGUUGCACAUUUCCUCUCCUAUGUGGAAACUGGGGGAAGCAGGGGAGGCCCUGAAAGUAGAAGAGGAGCUAUUAGGAUUUAGGAAGGCAGUCAGAGGGAGGAGGCAGGGCACGAGGGGCAGGAAGGUGGGCAUGACCAAAGCUUGAUCUGUGCCCUGGUGGAAGUGUCCUCGUGAAGCCCGUUAUAUGUGUUAAUGAUUAAGAUAAAUAAAAGUAACAUUCAAAUUCA